UAUGUCUGUUUACUGGCUUGGUGAAUACUUCAAUCCUCCCUCAGGUUUGACCCAGAUCGAUUCGAGGAAGAAUCGGCCAGGAAGAGCUUCUGUCUGCUCGGAUUCUCAGGGAAUCAGACGUGUCCAGAGCUCAGGUUUGCCUACACUGUGGCUACGGUCGUCCUCAGCACGUUGGUGCGGCAGCUGAAGCUCCACCGACUGAAGGGGCAAGUGGCCGAGAUCCGAUCCAAGCUGGUAUCCGCACCGAAGGACGAAACCUGGAUCACCGUCAGCAGAAGAAGCAGCUAAAACAAAGAUUUAGAGAAAACGAUGAAGAGCAAAGAGCAACACAUUUAACAUCACUGAAUGAAAUUACCAGCAGAGUAUUCCCUGUUAGACGUCAUCGUAGUUUCCCAUCAUGAUGCGAGUAGUUUGGACUGACACUCUUAAUUUGUAGGAUUUUAAAGGCUGUUUCACCCACUUUGUACCACCACUGAGGCCUUAAGCAUGACAUUAGCUUUUUCCGCUCAGAGGUUUAGUUUGUCGAACGCUUCCUGUCUCUUCAGGGAGGGAGGCUCGACGAGUAAAGCUCUGUGACGUCGAGAAAAAUGACUUGCGCUGCUAAAACUUUCUGUAUUUUCAGAACAGCUGGUUAGAGUCAGAGUCAGGGGGCUUGUUUGUGUAUCUGAAAAUGAACCAAGCUGCAUUUACAUUUCAUUCCUUUUUACAUCCUGUAUAUUAAAAAAUGGAUGAAGA